rnacentral:pre_miRNA from 1 species
ACAUGCUUCUUUACCUGGCCAUACGGAUACCUUCGGCUAUGGAAUGUAAAGAAGUAUGUUC